rnacentral:rRNA from 1 species
CCUACGGGGGGCAGCAGUGAGGAAUAUUGGUCAAUGGGCGAGAGCCUGAACCAGCCAAGUCGCGUGAAGGAUGACGGCCCUACGGGUUGUAAACUUCUUUUGUCAGGGAGCAAUUGGCUCCACGCGUGGGCUUAGCGAGAGUACCUGAAGAAAAAGCAUCGGCUAACUCCGUGCCAGCAGCCGCGGUAAUACGGAGGACGCGAGCGUUAUCCGGAUUUAUUGGGGUUAAAGGGUGGGUAGGCGGAAUAUAAAGUCAGCGGUAAAAAUUCGGGGCUAAACCCCGUCGUGCCGUUGAAACUGAUGUUCUGGAGUGGGCGAGAGGUAUGCGGAAUGCGUGGUGUAGCGGUGAAAUGCAUAGAUAUCACGAAGAACUCCGAUUGCGAAGGCAGCAUACCGGCGCCCAACUGACGCUGAGGCACGAAAGCGUGGGUAUCGAACAGGAUUAGAUACCCGAGUAGUC